GGAUAGUAAAAGAGACCGUUCUGCUCUCUUCCCAUGUUUUGCAAAACUGCUGCGUGCAGGGAAGAGAAAGGUUGUGCAAAAGAUGAAGCAAGGACUUUAUUAUGAAGGUUGCAGAAAUGAAAAAGGAACGAUUAAAAAGAAGGACAGCUUAAAGACUUUUUACUGAGGGUUGUUAUCAAAUUCAGAACUAGGAAAUUGUGUUGAACUAAGGCAGAGCAACCAAUUCAUCUAUCAUGCACAUAAGGCCAAGUGGUGUUUGACUUGAUGUCUGUACCCUGGCACAACUCAAUGCUAUUUUGUUCCCCUCUAUUACUCAUUUUGAAGACCCUGAUAAUUUUUACCUCUAUGUGUUCUAGAAUGCCCUGGUGUGAAUGCAGAUAUAGGGCCCUUCCCAGAGCCGGCCCUAGGUAUUUUUCAAAUGUAGGCAAACAGAAUCCCUCCCCCCCAAACCAAUCACUGAAUAAUACAAGCGUUGGAUAAGCAAAAAUGUUGGAUAAUAAGGAGGGAUUAAGGAAAAGCCUAUUAAACAUCAAAUUACAUUAAGAUUUUACAAAUUAAGCACCAAAACAUCAUGUUUUACAAGAAAUCAACAAAAAAAAGCAGUCUCAACUGCACCCCUGUAUGUUUUGCGCCCGAAGCGACCGCUUAAUUCGCCGCAUUGUUGGACUGGCCCUGGCCCUUCCACACAGCGAUAUUACCCAGAAUAUCAAGGCAGAUAAUCCACAAUAUCUGCUUUGAACUGAGUUAUCUGAGUCCACACUGCCAUAUAAUCCAGUUCAGUGUGGAUUUUAUACAGCUGUGUGGAAGGAGCCAUAGUGAAGGAACAAUUAGGUCAACUUAGCCAUUGGAUUUGAUAGGAUUACCCUGGAACUGCUGAAAUGCAGCAUCAUUUGUUGGGCACUUAUUCUAGCUUCUCUCCCCUCCCCAGUUAACAAAUCUGAUAUAAUCCCUGCAUUUUGGUAAAAUAUUCCUAUUUACAAGAAGGGUCCUAAAGAUGACAGUCAUAAUUACUGAUCCAUUGAGCGUUCUAACUGGAUGUCAGCUGUUACCAGCAGUGCUGCAGAAUUCAAAGAGGCACAAAUUGAGGGCUUAAGAGAGAAAUAUGCCAAGAGGAAGGCACAUCAAGCCAACCCUGACCGGGACCUCCUUACAUCUGGAAACCGAUGUCUUCACUGUGAAAGAACAUGCAGGUCAAGAAUAGGUCAUCACAGCCACCUACGCAUUUACCAAGAUGCUAAACUUGGAGGACCAUCAUCCUUGAGCUUACUUAGGAGGGAUUGCCUAAGUAAGUAAAAACAAAAAAGUUGUAGAGUCUUCUCCUGAAUGAGACUAAGGAGAUUGGGAGGAAAAGGAGCCCGGAGAAGUUCUGUUUGCCUUAAGAACGAUUUCACCUGUCUUCUUGACAGUAAGGCGAUUGGGUGGGAAAGGAGAGGAGCCCAGAAAAGUGGUGCCUGCCUUAAUAAGGAUGCCAUCUGUCUCCUCUACAAAUGGUUGAGCUAGAGGUAGAGGAGGCAACCCUGUGUGAUGGGGUAAAUGAUUUCUGUUUUCUUUAAAGAUGGAAUCCCACACAAAGAAGACGAUUCUACGCACAAAGAAAAUGAUUUCCCUCACUUUCCCAUUUUCUGUGUGAUGAAGUCCAAGGUUUACUUUUGGGUUUAAAAAAAUUAUUUCAAGCCAUGGAUGGCUGAAUCCAUUGAUACAGGAUAAAAAUUUAGCUUAUUUAAUUUAUACCCUGCUUUGUGGGCACAAUUAUUUUUUUGUAGUGAAAAGAAGGAAAAUGAGAGAGAAAGAGAGGGGGGGGGGGAAUGUUAGAGACGAGUUUUCUUUGUUUUUCAUGGAUUGCCUUUCUUUCUGAAAGGAUAGAGUUCUACUCUAUUAGACCAAGCUUUCAUUUCUUAUAAUCAUAUUGGAUUAGGCAAGAGCCACAAGAGAAAUAUGAAGAAGCAAUGCAAACUUGAAAUGAUAAGUAGGUAGUCCAAAAAUCUGAUGAAACAUAUUUGUUGUGAGUCUGAGCUUUUGAAUUCUUUCUUUAGUAUCAGGGUCACAAAGGGUUCAAGUUCAUCUUUUGUACUGUGGGAAAAAGAUAUGAUUUAGAAUAACUAUAUAGUCGGACAUGUGGAAUACUUGCUGCAAUUCCCUCUUCCAACUAGAUAUAUACAGGCACAGGAGAAAUGCAAAUAGUUUUGCAUCUGGCCACCCUACAUGGAACACAUAAUUUUGUUAAGUUAGCAGACAUGAGUAUCUCUACAGCAACAAAUUACCUCACACAUUCCUGAAAAUGGCUUUCCAAGUAGUCAGGUGGCUCUUCCCUUUUGAAAAUCUUAUUUUCCUACUUGUUAGAAAAGAAUUAGGAACCAUUUUGUGACUGCAUCUCUUCACUUGGAAUGGGAACAUAGAUGUAACUGUCAAAAAUUAUUCCCAUUCCCUAGGCCCUUGGAACAGAAGAGGGCAACAAAAGAUAAGGUUUGGCUGAUGUUCAAUUAGAAUUCGAAUUAAUUUAUCCACACCCAACAAAAUGCCCUCUCUAGGCAUUUUCUAGGUCCUCAAUUCAUAUGGGCCAGAAGUCCUCAAUUUCAAUUGGGUUUGCUAUUCCAGUAGAGUCUCACUUAUCCAACAUAAACGGGCCAGCAGAACGUUGGAUAAGCGAAUAUGUUGGAUAAUAAGGAGGGAUUAAGGAAAAGCUAUUAAACAUCAAAUUAGGUUAUAAUUUUACAAAUUAAGCACCAAAACAUCAUGUUAUACAACAAAUUUGACAGAAAAAGUUGUUCAAUACGCAGUAAUGCUAUGUAGUAAUUAUUGUAUUUAUGAAUUUAGCACCAAAAUAUCACGAUGUAUUGAAAACAUUGACUACAAAAAUGUGUUGGAUAAUCCAGAAUGUUGGAUAAGUGAGACUCUACUGUAUCUGCAUUUUUAUGUAUCUAUACAAAGUCUGAGAAUGAAUCCCGUGGAUACAGAGAUCAUAUUGUAUCGACACUGUGCAAUGUGAAAGGGUCCCUGGUAGCAAUCUGGGCUUUGUUGGUCUAUCCACCACCAUCAGGGAAGUCCACCAAGAGUCUAGUAACAUAAAAAGUGGUCCACAGAGUACAGGUUCACCCUCAUUUGAAAUCUGGUUUUGGUUAAAAGCAAAUUCUGUUCAUGAGAAAAGUGAUUGCACAGACUGGUGUUAGAAAUGAAAGAAACUGUUCACAUAGGCACAACAGCAAAAUUGUCUCUGAACUUUAGUUUCAAGGGAUCCCAUUGUGGUCUGAAAAUGGUUUGAGGUUCCAUAGCCUGAACUGUGCUCACCCUGGCCCAAGAAAAUUAGGAUCUCUUAUUUUUACAUGUGUUGUGCAUGAUGCUAUGUAAGCAAAACCUCAUUGUAACCAAAUUUCUUCCUGUAUUUCUUUUCUAGAAACAGGAAAUGGGGAAAACAUCAGCUCACUUGUCCCUCUGGAAAUUCCCAAGAUUCUUUUUGCAGUGGCUCCGUGACCUUCAUUUUCAGUGCAUGUUCCCUCAUUCCCAAAGGGAGGUUAGCACAACCCACACUGUCUCCUCCAAGGACCUUUGGGAGAAUAUGUUGUGUGUUAAUGAUGGGGAAGAGAAAUUCCUCUGAGUCGUAGUAUCCUGCUGAUACAAAUGAUCAGUUCUGCCUACAAAUCAAAAACAGGUCCCUUAACACUGAUUUUCCAGUGCCUUUUCAAAGCCUUACACUUUUGCACAUUCAUCAUAAAAAUACGGUGUUCAGCUUUUUGGGUGCAACUGUCCAGAAAGUGGCACAAAAUCUGCUGUUUAUUUGCUGCUGGCAAAAAUGCAGCACUGGAUUUGAUAUUUUAACAGUGAGUGGUUGCACAUGUUAGGAAAAUGCAAAAUAUUUUCCUUUGGAUGUACUUGAGGUCACAUUGGUGUAUGCACAGUGCCAUAGCUUCAAGCUUCGCUUACUGUCAUGGUAGAAUACAGAUGAUUUUCCUGGCUGUACAUAGAAGGAUACCUCAAGAUGGUGGAUUACAACAUCCAGUAUUCCUCCCUACUGACUACUCUAGUCAAGUCCAACAACAUCUGGAAGUCCAACAACAUCUGGAAGUUCACGUGAAUCUAAUAUCUGGUCUCUAGCAAGAAAAAGAAAAGUUUUUUCUGUACAUUUUAGGAGAACAAUUAUUUGUAAACAACAAAAUGUUUUUUGGGGGGAGCCAAUUACAUGAAUGAAAAACACAACCCACACUGUUUUAAUUCUGAGUCAUUACAAACAGUAUAAUGCAUUUUAAAGUGAGGCCUUCCAAUAUACAAUUACCAUGAUCCCUCCAGUGCUCUAAACUUAUACCUCAUAAAUUAUUGUGGCUCUUAGAAUGAAGGAAGUAUUUCCAUUUGCUGGAGCAACACUGUUUGGAAAGAUGCUACUGAAAGAACAGCUGCUCAGUUCAUUUCACCUCACUUUUUAUGGCAUCCAGAACAACUUAGACUCAAACUAGAUGACAGCCCAGAAUAUUUUAAGAAAGUCAACUGACUAUCAUUGCACAUUAUUACCUUCAUGUACAUAUUUUGAAUUGUGCAUGCUUUAUUUUGUAAUUGGUCACUGCAAGGUGAACAAGAAUUUAAUUUUCAAAUGUGAUUGUCAAGGCAUAUAUGUUUGAAAAAUCCCAUUGUGGAGGUGAAGCAGAUUUAUUGCAAAGACUAUAUAUUCUCCCUAACAUUUGCUGUGUUUUCUGGCUGUGGUGUUACGUGUUUGAUCAUUAGAUCCGGAAUGAAAAGUGGAGAGGGCUUCUGUACUUUAAUGGCUGGGUAGAAGACAGGAUUUCCAGAGGCACUGCUAGUUACCUGGUUGCAUGACAAGCAACCAUUGCAGAAACUCCCUUUCUUGUAAAACCAUUAAAGAUACAGGAACCCAACCUGGUUUUUAACAUGGCAACUCUAAGCCAAGAUAAAGAAAGGAUAUGAAGUGUUCUAACAUCAAGACAUAAGUUGUCAUUAAAAGUAUGUAACAAAAAAUAACAUGUUGCGAAAGAGGACCCUGAUGGCAAGUGCUCUUUUUGGGCCAUUUAAUAUGAUUUUUUUUCAGAUGUAGCUCUGCAUGCCACAACAAAUUUAGUUUUCAGUAUAGUUUUUCUCAUCCAAAGUGAAUGAACUGAAUGACUGAAUAAAUGCACAAUCAUGUGAAUGCAGUAGCCUAACUGUGAGUAUAUCCAGUCUUGGGCAACUAACCAGUGCUGGCCCUACCAGAGUGAGACAACUGUCGGGCUGGCACUGGAGGAUACAGUGUUCCCCUGCUACUUUGCGGUUCACUUAUUGUGGACUCGCUGUUUCAUGGGAAAAUUAUUUAUUUACCCCAUUACUACUGCUUCUCCUCCUCAGGGCUGCCUCCUAGCUUCGGCCCUGCCAUGUGGCUCUGGCUGCCUCUGCCAGGGAAGAAGGA